UACGUAGGGUGCGAGCGUUAAUCGGAAUUACUGGGCGUAAAGAGUGCGCAGGCGGUUUUGUAAGCCAGAUGUGAAAUCCCCGGGCUUAACCUGGGAAUGGCAUUUGGGACUGCAAGGCUUGAGUGCGGCAGAGGAGACUGGAAUUCCUGGUGUAGCAGUGAAAUGCGUAGAUAUCAGGAGGAACACCGAUGGCGAAGGCAGGUCUCUGGGCUGACACUGACGCUCAUGCACGAAAGCGUGGGGAGCAAACAGG
rnacentral:rRNA from 1 species